UACGUAGGGGGCUAGCGUUGUUCGGAUUUACUGGGCGUAAAGCGCACGUAGGCGGAUCGAUCAGUCAGGGGUGAAAUCCCAGAGCUCAACUCUGGAACUGCCUUUGAUACUGUCGAUCUGGAGUAUGGAAGAGGUGAGUGGAAUUCCGAGUGUAGAGGUGAAAUUCGUAGAUAUUCGGAGGAACACCAGUGGCGAAGGCGGCUCACUGGACACGUAUUGACGCUGAGGUGCGAAAGCGUGGGGAGCAAACAGG
rnacentral:rRNA from 1 species